UGAGGAAUAUUGCGCAAUGGGGGCAACCCUGACGCAGCAACGCCGCGUGAGUGAGGAAGGUUUUCGGACCGUAAAGCUCUGUCGAGCGGGAAGAAAUGUAUCGUGGCUAAUAUCCAUGAUAUUUGACGGUACCGCUAAAGGAAGCACCGGCUAACUCCGUGCCAGCAGCCGCGGUAAUACGGGGGGUGCAAGCGUUGUUCGGAAUUAUUGGGCGUAAAGGGCGCGUAGGCGGUUAUGAAAGUCAGAUGUGAAAUACUUCGGCUCAACUGAAGAACUGCAUCUGAAACUUCAUAACUCGAGUACUGAAGAGGGAAAUGGAAUUCCUGGUGUAGAGGUGAAAUUCGUAGAUAUCAGGAGGAACACCAGUGGCGAAGGCGAUUUCCUGGUCAGAUACUGACGCUGAGGCGCGAAAGUGUGGGGAGCAAACA
rnacentral:rRNA from 1 species